GGGAGUUCAACGGACAGAGCAGUCGCCCGGCAAGCGAAAGACCCGGGUUCGAUUCCCGGCC
rnacentral:tRNA from 1 species